rnacentral:rRNA from 1 species
GACGAACGCUGGCGGCGUGCCUAAUACAUGCAAGUAGGACGCAGUUGCGAACGGGUGGGUAACGCGUAGGUAACUACCUACUAGAGGGGGAUAACUAUUGGAAACGAUCGCUCAUACCGCAUACUCGUAGAUGGACCUGCGUUGUAUUAGCUAGUAGGUAGGGUAAUGGCCUACCUAGUCGAUGAUAAAUAGCCGACCGGAGAGGGUGAUGGGCCACACGGGGCCUGAGACACGGCCCAGACUCCUACGGGAGGCAGCAGUAGGGAGUCUCCGGCAAGGGGGGGAACCCUGACCGUGCAACGCCGGGGGAGUGAAGAAGGUUUUCGGAUCGGAAAGAUCUGUUGUUAAGGAAGCGGUACUUAACCAGAAAGGGACGGCUAACUACGUGCCAGCAGCCGCGGUAAUUC